GGAAGGGCCAUAGCUCAGUGACAGAGCACUUGUUUUGUAUGCCAAAGUUCCCAGGUUCAAUUCCUUGGGCUCUCCA